GCAGCGGUAGUUCAGUUGGUUAGAAUACCGGCCUGUCACGCCGGGGGUCGCGAAUACCGGCCUGUCACGCCGGGGGUCGCGGGUUCGAGCCCCGUCCGCUGCGCCA
rnacentral:tRNA from 1 species